AGCGAACGCUGGCGGCAGGCCUAACACAUGCAAGUCGAACGAACUCUUCGGAGUUAGUGGCGGACGGGUGAGUAACACGCGGGAACGUGCCUUUAGGUUCGGAAUAACUCAGGGAAACUUGUGCUAAUACCGAAUGUGCCCUUCGGGGGAAAGAUUUAUCGCCUUUAGAGCGGCCCGCGUCUGAUUAGCUAGUUGGUGAGGUAAAGGCUCACCAAGGCGACGAUCAGUAGCUGGUCUGAGAGGAUGAUCAGCCACAUUGGGACUGAGACACGGCCCAAACUCCUACGGGAGGCAGCAGUGGGGAAUCUUGCGCAAUGGGCGAAAGCCUGACGCAGCCAUGCCGCGUGAAUGAUGAAGGUCUUAGGAUUGUAAAAUUCUUUCACCGGGGACGAUAAUGACGGUACCCGGAGAAGAAGCCCCGGCUAACUUCGUG
rnacentral:rRNA from 1 species